rnacentral:misc_RNA from 1 species
UUGAAGUGCUAUCCGAGAAGAAGUAAUGUAUCAAUAGUACACAUAUAGAGUGAUGAAUUAACCAAUUGUUGAUCAAUCUAUCUAAAUACAUGUUACCUAUAUACAUAUCAAUGUAAUUUUAACGGUGAUUGGAAAGCCCUUUUCUUGUUUGUUGGAAAUAAGGAUAAUUUGCAAUAUAUAUUAUACAAUUGCAAUGUGGAUUUUAUGGCUGAACCAUUUUGGAGGUUUAAAAAAUAAGGACUUACUGCAACUGCUUCGGUCUUCCCUACAUUGAUUGGACGCAUCUAUGAUACCCAUGUUCUUAUUCUAUGAUGAAGAGAAAGUAAAACUCAGCAACGGUGGAACGUAGAGACAAAGUCUUUCUUCAAGCAUUCCCCAAAGCUCAAUUGUUUGAUUUGAUAUCCCUCAAAUCAAAUUUUCCUUAAUAAAGAGCUCUAAAAAAAGAAGAAGAUUAUAUUCAACAAGGGAUUCAUGUUUAAAAUGGGCGGUGGAGGACCCACCCUGAGUUUGGACCUAUGGUAUCAACUCCGACGUUUAACAGAUCUUCCUGAUAUUCGGAUUGACGAUUGGUUCUUUCGACUUCACUACUGGGUCACAUCCACAGCUUUAUUCCUUGCCUCAGCCAUUGCUUUUGCAAAACAGUAUUUUGGAGAUCCCAUUGAGUGCAUUUUUGAUGCUAAAGAAGGUAAUGAAAUGAAGGCCGUGGAUGCCUACUGUUGGCUUCAUUCCACCUUCAAUUUAGACUAUAAUCUACUCAAAAAAAUGAAUGAAAACCCAAAGAUACGAAAUCCUUGUAAGGGAUUUUUCCAAUUUGAGGACCAACCUGAUACAGACACUCUCUACUACCAAUGGGUUCCAUUUUUUCUACUAUUGCAGGCUCUUACAUUUCGAAUAUCAUGGCGCCUCUGGCAAAGCUUUGAAGGAGGUCGGAUGGAAGAGUUUGGCCUGGAGGCCAAGAAGCACUUAAUUCCAAGUGAUUCCGCAGAUAUAAUUGCCAAACAGUAUGCACUCCUUUUUCGCACCAUCAUUCGUCGAAAUAAUUCCUACUUUGCCAAAUAUUUCUUUUGCGAAGUCCUCAACGUCGUAAUUGUUAUUUGGAACAUUUAUGCAACGGAUGGCUUUUUAGGAGGAAAGUUUGUGCAUUAUGGAUCUCAGGUCUGGAGGUUUUAUAGAAUGGGCUCGAGGGAAAGGAAAUUGAACGUGAAUCCGAUGUGCGCCUUGUUCCCUACAGUCACUUCAUGUCAAUUCCCAUCUGGAGCCGUGACAGGUAGCUUGAACGUGGAUCAUGCCAUGUGUGUUCUGAGUCUCAAUAUAAUCAAUGACAAAAUAUUUUUAUUGGAAUGGUUUUGGUUCUUCACACUCCUCUGGAUCUCUCUCUCCAACAUCACUCUCUCCUUUGCCCAGAUCCUUUUUCGUAAUUUUAGAAGAUUUCUUUUCCUUUGGAAGUGUAACAAUGAGACUGAGAAAACAUACUUUAAAGAGGUCUUUGAUAAAACAAAAACAGGAGAUUGGUUCUUCCUUUCCAUCCUUCAACGAAACACAAAUUCCUACAUGUUUAAAAGAAUCAUUAAAUGCAUUGCCGAACAAAUUAAAGACGAUCAAAGAGUGAAUAGAACAAGGAGAUCUUCAUCCUCUCAGAGUGGAGUUUAAAAUUCAUUUGAGGAUUAUGAUGACCAGGACUUUUGAAGGAAGUACUCAGAAAAGCUCAAUCUAUUCCAAUCCUUCUCUUACAACUCACUUUUCGAAGAUGUCAAUCGAUAUAAUAAAUAAAUAUCUGGACUUUAUUUAGAGGACUUGGGAUAAUUUCCCUUGACCAAAGGCUUUAAAAAGCAAAACGAGAAAUACACACAUUUAUAUGCAAACUUCCAUAACUGUACGUGUGGGGAUUAAUCUUUAUAUUUUUUUUGGACCAAAAACUUUUAUUACUGCCAAAAAACUAACAAAAAAAAACUACCAUUAAACAUUAUUCAUUAAUUUCUAACGCAAGUUUUAUUUCCAAUCUCGCUCAAAAUAUUUAGGUUUUUCAGAAUUACACUGUGUAGCAAUUUUUACGUUGUAUUAUUAUCUGAUUAAUUAUAUACUGUGACUAAAUACCAAAUAAAUAAUAUUCUUUAUGUCUAAA